rnacentral:misc_RNA from 1 species
AGCAGCCGCGGUAAUUCCAGCUCCAAUAGCGUAUAUUAAAGUUGCUGCAGUUAAAAAGCUCGUAGUUGAAUUUCGGGAUCAUCAUGUCGGUCGUGCCUCGGUACGUACUGGCAUUGUUGGUUUCUACCUUCUGACGAACCAUGAUGUCAUUUAUUUGGUGUCGUGGGAAAUCAGGACUGUUACUUUGAAAAAUUAGAGUGUUUAAAGCAGGCUCACGCUUGAAUACAUUAGCAUGGAAUAAUGAAAUAGGACGUUUGAUUCUAUUUUGUUGGUUUCUAGGAUCGACGUAAUGAUUAAUAGGGAUAGUUGGGGGCAUUAGUAUUCAAUUGUCAGAGGUGAAAUUCUUGGAUUUAUUGAAGACUAACUACUGCGAAAGCAUUUGCCAAGGAUGUUUUCAUUAAUCAAGAACGAAAGUUAGGGGAUCGAAGACGAUCAGAUACCGUCGUAGUCUUAACCAUAAACUAUGCCGACUAGGGACCGGAUGAUGUUAAUUUUAAUGACUCAUUC